rnacentral:tRNA from 1 species
GCCAUGGUGGCUCAGUGAUGGAGCAUCAACCUAUGAACUAGGAGGUCAGGGUUUGAUUCCUGGUCAGGGCA